CUUUCAUUCGCUGCCAGGGAGCAAUGCAAGUGUGAGAACACAAAAAGAAAAGUUUCCUUUUACAAUAAAAUGACUCGGAAUCUCAGCGGUUCGGGUUCUAUCAUCGACAUGGUGAAAUAUCACAUGCCGUUUGGACAUCAGUAUGAGCCAGAUGGAGGAUGACAGCUGCUCGUAAACCUCGUCUCAGAUGUCGGUGAUCUUCUGUCGCCACAGUCUGCUUUUCAGCAGUAUAAUGACAUUUACAAAUGGCACUUGGAUGAGCGAUCCGGCAGGACUGCUGUCAAGUCACAUGUUUAAGCUUGAAGAUGACCCCUACCAGGGAGAGGGUAGUUGACCUGUUGAUUGACAGCACUGCACUAUUUCUGUGAAACUGAAAAUUGUAGUGCACAAGAUGCUGUAUCCGGUGAAGGAAAAUCAACAAUUGAAGCACCUGCUCUUAGUUUUUGGCAUCAAAGCUUGCAUCAGCCAGCUCACACAUACCUGAUGCGAGCAUUGCAAUGUUGCUUGUUGCACGUGUAAUGUUUCAAAGUGUCAAAUAACACUAUUGUGUUUUUGGGAGGAUUUAAGUAUAAAACCAUUAUGCAAAAAGUGAGCUCUAAUGAUUAGUGAUGUGUAAGCUGGAGCCCUGUGAGGAAGCCAGCAGGAGAUCAGGUAAAGAAGUUGCUCAGCUGUAAGAUUAUGCUUGCAAAAUGUGCGCUGUUCACAGAGCGAAAGCCCUUCAGA